CCAAACUGUCUUUAUUUUUUGGUUAGCUGUUUGUUUAUUUUACCAAAUUCAAAAUUUAUUUUUUUCAUAUCGCAUUCUCUGAAGAGGUGCUUCGAUUCAGUUAAUAAUGUCAGGAUUCAGUGGGACCAAUCCAUCUAAUCGCUUAAAACGAGCAAAAAGUGAGUUGUCUCAUAAUACUUCUGCUGGAUCUCUCAGGAAUGAAUUUAGAAAUAAAUUCUUCACAAGAUUGAGAAAUAAUCGUAGCAGAAGUGUCGACAGGUUUCGGCAAAUUGUAGAAGAUUAUGGGCAAAUUAUUUCAUAUAGAUCAAUCAAUGAUUUGAGAAUAGCUCUCGAAAGGGACCCAGAGGCAGUCAAUCUCAUGAAUGACACUGAAGUAAACGAGAUAUUGGAUCAAAUUGAGCAGGAAUUGUCACAAGUGGAUCUUCAAGAUCAAGCAGAUCGUCAUGAGCAAGACAGGAAGAAUGAAACUGAGGAUAUUGUUAACCGUCUUCUAAUGAUUUGUAACAUAUGUCAAAAUGUCUCAGCGGAAGGAAACAUAUGUUCAACGUGUGUAUCACACAUCAAUGAUGAAUUUUCAAAGUAAUUGUUGAAUUUAUGCCUAUAUUGAGUUUAGAUUGUGUUAUGUUUGAAUUGUUUGAUGAUAAUUUAUUAAGACUGUCUGAAAAUCUUACCAUAACUGAGCCCUUAUCCAAUUAGAUCUGAAUUUAUUAAGGGUGAAUAUUCGUUUCAACAGCUAGAGCUUGUUAUUCAUAAUUAAUUCCAUGUAUGUAAUUUGUGUAAUGUUUCAUUUGAAAGAAGGUUAAAGUUAUGUAAAAUUUUCCUUUUCGUGAUGUAGCCAAUAAAUAAAAAACAAAAACUCUAAUGAUGCAACAAUAUUUAGAAAAUGAUAGGAUUAGUUUGGUGAAAUAGAAGUUUUUAUUCUGUGAUGACCUUUGAAGUGAUUGAAUAAAUUGUCCGCAGUAGAGACCGUAGUUCGUCUUUUAUGAGUUUUAAUAACUAAACUUGAAUUAAUAAAAUAAUUGUUUUUAACAAUUUCAACUUUUGAUUACCGUAUCUCUGAAAGUAGACCAAGCACCAAGUCUUAAAUUCAUAUCCUUGAUUAGCAGAUAAAAACAUGUCUAACUGUAAAUUUUUCAUAAACAGCACGAACUGUUAAAACGAAUAUAUACACCAAUAAGAUUCAAAAUCUGAGGACCAACAAUUAUUAUUUGGGAAAAAAUCGAAUUCCUGAUUUUUUAGAAAAUUUGAUAUGUUCGCAUUUUUAUAGCCAAACAUGUUUACUUCCAGCUUUACACCAAAAAUUACACUUUCCGAGAAUAUUUCAUUUAGAGAUUUUUUCAUUUAAUAGUACCAGUUAUAUCAAUUCUUUUAAAAAGUACUUGAACUCUGAAACAAUGUUUGUACUGUCAGAUAUGUGACAAAAAAUUUGAUUGUGGAACUGGUCUAUUUGGGUAUGAGGUAAUAAUGCUCAGAACUCUAUGUUAUAGUGCUUAACAAUUGUUACCUCUUAAGCUGUUUCACUUGAAGAAAAAAUGUUUCAUUGAAUUUCAACAGUGAACAUCAAGUAUGAUAAGACUGAGAGACAAUUUGAUAAUAAGUUUGUUUUCUGUUUGACUUUGGCAGAUUCAAUUACUAUAAUUGAAGUGAUGCCAACCCAUCGAGAGAAUGUUGAUAAUGAAUGUGUAAUUCUUUCUAGAUUGGUCUCCUAAUGACUGAUUUGCUCUGUAUUCAUAAUUUUGUUGAAUGUACUAAUGUGAUAUAGAGAGUAAUAAAUCAUUUUUAUAUAUUG